AACGAACGCUGGCGGCAUGCCUAACACAUGCAAGUCGAACGAGACCUUCGGGUCUUGUGGCGCACGGGUGCGUAACGCGUGGGAACCUGCCCUUAGGUUCGGAAUAACUCCCCGAAAGGGGUGCUAAUACCGGAUAAUGUCUUCGGACCAAAGAUUUAUCGCCUUUGGUUGGGCCCGCGUUGGAUUAGCUAGUUGGUAGGGUAAAAGCCUACCAAGGCGAGGAUCCAUAGCUGGUUUGAGAGAAGGGUCAGCCACGCUGGGACUGAGACACGGCCCAGACUCGUACGCGAGGGAGCAGUGGGGAAUAGUGGAAGAUGGGGGAAAGUCUGAUAAAGCAAUGCCGGGUGAGUGAUGAAGGGGGUAGGGUUGUAAAGCUCUUUUAGCCGGGAUGAUAAUGACAGUACCGGGAGAAUAAGCUCCGGCUAACUACGUG
rnacentral:rRNA from 1 species